rnacentral:rRNA from 1 species
GGAUGCGAUCAUACCAGCACUAAAGCACCGGAUCCCAUCAGAACUCUGAAGUUAAGCGUGCUUGGGCGAGAGUAAUACUAGGAUGGGUGACCUCCUGGGAAGUCCUCGUGUUGCACUCC